rnacentral:lncRNA from 1 species
AUGCUCAAAAUUCUCCAAGCCAGGCUUCAGCAAUACAUGAACCGUGAACUCCCUGAUGUUCAAGCUGGUUUUAGAAAAGGCAGAGGAACCAGAAAUCAAAUUGCCAACAUCCGCUGGAUCAUGGAAAAAGCAAGAGAGUUCCAGCAAAACAUCUAUUUCUGCUUUAUUGACUAUGCCAAAGCCUUUGAUUGUGUGUAUCUCAAUAAACUAUGGAAAAUUCUUCAAGAGAUGGGAAUACCAGACCACCUGACGUGCCUCUUGAGAAACCUAUAUGCAGGUCAGGAAGCAACAGUUAGAAAUGGACAUGGAACAACAGACUGGUUCCAAACAGGAAAAGGAGUAGGUCAAGGCUGUAUAUUGUCACCCUGCUUAUCUAACUUCCAUGCAGAGUACAUCAUGAGAAACGCUGGGCUGGAAGAAACACAAGCUGGAAUCAAGAUUGCCGGGAGAAAUAUCAAUAACCUCAUAUAUGCAGAUGACACCACCCUUAUGGCAGAAAGUGAAGAGGAACUAAAAAGCCUCUUGAUGAAAGUGAAAGAGGAGAGCGAAAAAGUUGGCUUAAAGCUCAACAUUCAGAAAACUAAGAUCAUGGCAUCUGGUCCCAUCACUUCAUGGGAAAUAGAUGGGGAAACAGUGGAAACAGUGUCAGACUUUAUUUUUGGGGGCUCCAAAAUCACUGCAGAUGGUGAUUGCAGCCAUGAAAUUAAAAGACGCUUACUCCUUGGAAGAAAAGUUAUGACCAACCUAGAUAGCAUAUUCAAAAGCAGAGACGUUACUUUGCCAACAAAGGUCCAUCUAGUCAAGGCUAUGGUUUUUCCAGCUGUCAUUUAUGGAUGGGAGAGUCGGACUGUGAAGAAAGCUGAGCGCCGAAGAAUUGAUGCUUUUGAACUGUGGUGUUGGAGAAGACUCUUGAGAGUCCCUUGGGCUGCAAGGAGAUCCAACCAGUCCAUCCUAAAAGACAUGAGUCCUGGGUGUUCAUUGGAUGGACUGAUUCUAAAGCUGAAACUCCAGUAG